UACGUAGGGUGCAAGCGUUAAUCGGAAUUACUGGGCGUAAAGCGUGCGCAGGCGGUUGUGCAAGACAGGUGUGAAAUCCCCGGGCUUAACCUGGGAACUGCACUUGUGACUGCACAGCUGGAGUACGGCAGAGGGGGAUGGAAUUCCGCGUGUAGCAGUGAAAUGCGUAGAUAUGCGGAGGAACACCGAUGGCGAAGGCAGCCUUCUGGGCCAACACUGACGCUCAUGCACGAAAGCGUGGGGAGCAAACAGG
rnacentral:rRNA from 1 species